rnacentral:rRNA from 1 species
CCUACGGGUGACAGCAGUGAGGAAUAUUGGUCAAUGGACGAGAGUCUGAACCAGCCAAGUAGCGUGAAGGAUGACUGCCCUAUGGGUUGUAAACUUCUUUUAUAUGGGAAUAAAAUGUUCCACGUGUGGGAUUUUGUAUGUACCAUAUGAAUAAGGAUCGGCUAACUCCGUGCCAGCAGCCGCGGUAAUACGGAGGAUCCGAGCGUUAUCCGGAUUUAUUGGGUUUAAAGGGAGCGUAAGUGGAUUGUUAAGUCAGUUGUGAAAGUUUGCGGCUCAACCGUAAAAUUGCAGUUGAAACUGGCAGUCUUGAGUACAGUAGAGGUGGGCGGAAUUCGUGGUGUAGCGGUGAAAUGCUUAGAUAUCACGAAGAACUCCGAUUGCGAAGGCAGUUCACUGGACUGCAACUGACACUGAGGCUCGAAAGUGUGGGUAUCAAACAGGAUUAGAUACCCGAGUAGUC